ACAUUAUUUGAUUCAGUGGUACACAAAAUAUAAUGUCCUUUAAAGUCGGUUCUGUCUUGGCGAUAAUCAUUCUGAUGAUAUUGAUCGAUGGAUCAGUUUUGCUAUUCUGAUGGCUGUUGAGAACCUCUUUGUUGGCCUUAUUUGUCUAGGAAGACAGUGUUACAAGAAUCCCAAUGGCAUGCACAGCAUUGAAAAUGUGGGGAAGUAUGUUUUUCGUUCAGAGCUUUUUGAAAGUGUGGAAAACAAGUUGAAGCAUCGCGAUUAGUAGGUGUAGUUUAGGACUAAACUUUUCUACCAACCAAUUUGCCACUAUGGACUCUUUGCUUGAUUUAUAUACCCAUUGUCCAAUUUACAUGGCAUGUUUUCUGUUGGUGAAGCUUCAAAAUUUGUGCUUUAUGAAUUGUAGGCUCCCUUCAAAAUUAUCCCUUGGCUCGUUGCCUCAAGAUCUUCACCCUUUAUCUUGUCGUGGGAUUAAGAAUGUUCAGCUAUUUAAUGUGAAUCUCUUGAACUUUCAGCUCAAGUCUCAUCGAUCGCUUAAGCUUAAUUUAAGUGGAGCUCCUAAUUUAAAGAUUCUUGGUUAUUAUGCACAUAAAAGAGGACUGCAGUCACUGCACUAUAUAUUGACCGAUCUUCCAAGACUUCUUCUUGAUUUGAGGGUUUUACAGAUUUACGCAGAUGAGGAUUGGGGUAAAUUUGUACCGGAGAGGAUGUCUACCUUCUCAAUGGUUGUGGAAUUAAAGCUGGAUUUUCGAAAACCUAGAAAGUUUGACACCUUGAAGAUGGUUUCCAUUCUUAGAGCCUUUCCCAGUCUGCUGCUCAACCUUGAGUUAUCGACAUGUUGUCCACAGGAGACUGAACAAGGGAGUGCUGACCUUGGCGAUAAUGUUCACUAAUAUCUGAAGUACAUUAAAAUACGUGGAUUUAAUACAUCAAAUCACACUGUGUUAGCAAUUUAUUGCUGACAGAUGCUGCUGUUCUUAAGCAGUUGGCUAUCAAACAGCAAGCCAGACACCAUUUUGACUGCGCAGAAACUGCUAAGCAAAUGCAAUUUUUGGAUGAAGUAGAAUGCCAGAAGCUCCGCUUGCAAUUACAGGCAUUAUCCAAAAGUGCAGUGGUGACUGUCACAUGAAUAUAUUUUUGGAUUAUUGUUAAAAAAAAAAAAACUUCCAUUUCAUAUUUAUGGGAGUUGCAAGGAAUCAUCGGGCCGUAGACUUUUUUUUUUUUUUUUAUUUACAUCAGGCUGUCCUCUAUUUUCUGUAUAUUAUAUGUAUGGUAAGGGUUUCCGGUUUAUUUUGGUAUCAGAGUCUGGUUAUACUUGUAUUAUACAUACUUCACUGGUGAGUAGGAGAGAAACUUUCAACCUCUGAUAUUUCUCUUAUUCUCUGUAUCACUGUUUUCUGCCAUCUUCUCUUAUCUUGGUAUAUCGGCUGGAAACUAGUAACUGCUUGAUUCCUUCCUAGAAGGUAGAGCGAUCUCUAGCUACAACGCCACAUACCAAAAACAUGGCUUGUCAAACACCUAACCCUGUUGCUGAAACUCAUCUUUAGACCCUUUCUCCCUCUGAAAUUGUUAAUCUCACCUCUUCUCUUUCUUUCUCUUCACCACUUCGAAGAACACUAUCUUCCAGAAUUGAUAAUCUCGUGGAAAUAUCUACUCUACCUGAAGAUGCUCAGGUUGGAGAAUCUCUCUUACCUCUUCUCAAUCCCUAUAACAUCUACAGACGAUCUAGAUCUCUAACCAGAUCUAUCAGAUCUCUCAUUUCUUCCAGAAGAUCUUUAUCAAAAGAAUAUGUUCAGGCCUCCAGAAUGGAUCAAUGCUCUCUUCAAAGUUCAUCUGCUGAACAGUAUGUGACCUUAGAAAUCCCUCCUUAGCUCAUUCCCAGAUGGAAACAAGAAGGAUUUUCUCACCUCCUCUUUGGAGCUGUUAGACUUAUCCUCAGUCUACAUGGAAGAUGAGGGCUUCCAGUGACAGCAAGAGUAUCACUCCUGGAUAUGAGAUUCUUACAGUAUGAACAUGCAGUGAUAGGAACAUGCCUUACCACUUUGCAUGCUGGAAGUGUGGUACUAACGUUCUUCCUGAACUACAAUCUUUCACUUAGGGAUCCACAUCUCAGCACCGCUUUAAAAGUCCAAAUCCAACUCACUGGUGCAGCACAAGUCACAUCCUCCAUGAUGGCUACGUUACACCAUCAGAUUAUCUAUAGGCUGCAAGAUCAUGCAGUAGAUCUAUCUCAGCCAUUCGUAUCAAAUGACGCUCUGCUUGUGUUAGCAGACAUUGAGACCAUCCCAACAAUUGUUCAGAUACCUAGGCAACUGCCUAGAAAUGAGCUUGAACAGCUUAUCCCAAAGGAUUGGUUAACCAAUUAUGAAAGACUCCAUUCAACCUCUCAACCAAUCCAGAUCACAGAAUCCUUUUUCAGGAGAAAUCCUGACUGUACGGUACAGACCACUUUUCAGCCACCGCGGCAUUCUACAGGAUCCUUGCCUGUAUUCCAGACCAUGAUGGUCCAGCUAUUAGAAAAAGAGCAAGAAGACUUUUCCAUUGGAGCAGUAACACCUGACAACCAUUACAUCUAUCCUCAGAAGAUAGAUGGUCACUGUCCCUGAGAUCUCCCAGGAUCUGGAAUGUGCGAUGAAGAUUGUGACUGUUGUGAUAACUACUGGGUAAAUGAAUAUGACCAUCCUUUGUCUGAUAAAAACUGGAGGAAGCUUACCAAACAAACAAGGAGAGCCUCUUGCAAGCCUCAAUAAGUUCUCAGAAGAGACUAUCCAGAUAAUAGCCCAUGGAUUGGUAUCCAUGAGGAAACCAAGCAGAAGAAGCCUCUUCCCAUCUAUGAGCCUGCCCUUGAGAUCAUCAGAAAAGAAGGAAAGAAACUGCCCCCUCUUAAACCAGUUUCUUCCCCUCCUCCUGCACUUCCUUUGGUGCAACCUUGUAUGAUGUUCUCACCCACUUCUUAUGAAAUAGAUUUUCCCCCAUUACCACAACAGACAGACCAGCAGACCGAAAUCUCCACCAGACCUUUCAUUCACUCAACUAAGGUUGAUAGUGAAGGUCAGAUAACUCCGAUCACUCAAGCUGAAGAAGUUCUGAAUUGGCAGACAAAGAAUGCAGCUGUCCAAAAUAAAACAUUACAACGAAUUGACUCAAAGAUUGAUCAAGUCCUCACCAGGACUCAGCAUAUCGAUCACAAGGUCGAUUAUUUCACUGCAUUUGUCCAGAACAUGUACAAAGAUUUGCAAGGCAGAAUUAACCAACUUGACAGGGACUUAUGAUCCUCAAUCCAACAAAGGAGGUUUGGCACAGAAUUUAACCAGAAGGAAUAGGAAAUCAGACGGUUAAGAAAACAGUUAGCCCAAGUUGAAGCAAACCUGCGUAAGCCAAUAGAGGCUCCUAUUUCUUACAGCCCAUUUUCCACUCCAAUGGCCCAUAAUCCUUUCCUUCAUACUCCUGAACCUGCAUAUUCCCCUUUCAGCCCUUUUAACUAUUCAUAUGAACCACCUCCAACCACAUAUCAUCCAUCCCCUUUGUUCAGACCUAAUCCUACACCUACCAGAUAUGAGCCAAGGAGUUCAUCUUCUCCGGAAGAAUCCCAUCCUCCAAAAAGGAAGAUUGAUAAGGGAAAGGACAAAAUAUACCCUGAUCCUCCUCCUCAGCAUAUGGUGUCUAUACCCUCUGAACCAGAAGAUGACUCUUCUGAUAACUUGUUUGAUGACAGUGAGGAUGGACGAAUGGAUAUCACGACAUUGCUCAUGGCUGAUCGCUAACCAACUGCAUCUCAAACAGGCCCUUCACCAACUACAGAUUCCACCAGUGGCACUACAGGCCCUUCCACUGGGCCUCCCCAAGCCCAAGAUCCACAUGUGGAAAUGCCAGAAGAUGAUCCAAUCCUGGAUUUUAAUCUCCCAGGCGCCCCACAUCAAUCCAGGUCCAGCACAGGCCCAUGGUUUACAUUGGACGACAUUCCCCCCUUAAAAUGGAGGGAUCGUCUUGCAGAAUUUAAAGCUUGGCUCGAUGUUCAGAUGUUUCGAGAAGGUGCUGAUUUUCAUACUAUUCUCAGAGAAUUUAUCUCUCGAAUCACUGGCACAUUACAAGACUGGUUUGCCUCCAUCAGAGAAUAUAACAAAGCCCAGUUUUGUCACCUGAAUGUUAUACAGGCUGUCAAUGCUAUUUUUGCUGAGUUCCUUGGCGAUGCAUCUUUAUAUAGCAAACAGCUACGACAGGAGUUUUUUGACAUGCGUUGCUACUCUUUAAAGAGAACAGAUAUUGAAAAGUAUUACCAGCGCAUGGCCCAGCGCUACUAUUUAUUAAAUAGGUAUAAUGAUGUCAACCUCAGGCAUACAUACAUUGUUUCUCUCCCAGAAGUAUUACAACCUGAACUCCACAGGAGCAUCAUUGCUACCUGAAGAGCAAUGAAUGCCAUCACCAUUGGAGAAAUCCAUCAGAUGACUUUAGCCUGUUUAGAUAAGAUGUGCGAGCAACAAAAAUUGUUCAAGGACAUCAUUGACAACAGCAAAGCCUUGAAGAAUAUCUGUCAGAAGUCCCACCUUGCUAUAAAAUGCAAGGAAAAGAAUUGUGAAUGCAAGCUAAAGAAGAAAGGGCAUUACAAGAAGUAUUCCUCUGGGUUCAAACCGCCUUUCAAGCAGAAGAAAAGAAGAAGACCAAUCAGAUACUUUCGUAAGAAAAGAACGGGUACAAAGAAGUUUGAUAGGUGUUACAUCUGUGGCAAUCGAGGUCACUAUGCUAAAAACUGUCCUAAGAACCCCAAUAAGGCAGUCAAGCUUUUACAACACAUACAACAGGCUUCUCACAUCUCUCUGGAGCAUGAUGAUGUUGAAUCCCUGUUCUCUGAACAAGAUGAAGAUACAGUCUUCGCCCUUGGAGCAGAUACUGGCUCAGAGCAAGACCACUUUUUCUCUUCAGAAGAAUCCAGUUCAGAUACUGAAGCCCAUUACCCGUCUUACCUGGCCCAACAUAUCCAAUCCUCCCAAUUAACUUACAGCCCAGACACUAUUUCAAUUCCUUUAGUUCCGCGUCAUAUUGUUCCCAGCAAAUAUGAACGGCCCAUUAGUAUCAUUGGUUUCCUAGAUACCGGGGCUCACAAAAGCAUGAUGAACCCAGCCAUCUUACCUUCAGAAUACUGGGUCCCCCAUGAAGAAUACUUCAAGGCAGCAGAUGGGAAUGUUUCCAAGACUAGCCUCAUCACCAAGCAUCCCAUUGGAAUUCAGUUCUUCCCCACCUGUAUCCUCUGGACCAAGGUCAUCGGGUCAGAUCUUCCUGACAAGGAUCUGCUAAUAGGCUUUGACUUGUAUCAACAGGCGAAGCAUUUGAAGAUCCUCCCCACAGGAUUAAAAUAUAAGAGGAAUUUUUAGGCAUUCACCUCUGUUCCAAGGUUAUAUUCUUUGGCUGAUGCUUCAACUGAAUUUCAAGAAUACAAGGAGCUCCUCUUAAGAUCCUGUGCUGAUUCCCAUGCACAUUUUCACCAUCAUCACCCCCUGUGGAAAAACCUAGAUUUCUUUGUCAAUCUCCCAUUCAAACUCAAUGAAGAUAUUAACCCGACAAAGGCAUCACACCCGGGGAUGAACCCUACAGACUUGGCUCUAGCCCAAGAAGAGUGCAAACAGCUUCUCCAACAAGGACUCAUAGAACCCACUUCCUCUCAAUGGGCCUGCCAGACCUUUUAUGUUGAAAAAAGAUCUGAGCGAUUAAGAGGAAAGAAAAGAUUUGUCAUUGAUUACAAGCCCCUCAAUCAUUUCCUUCAAGAUGACAAGUUCCCACUACCAAAACCUGAAGCCUUGUUCACUCAACUCUAUGAGGCCCAUGUCUUCUCCAAGUUUGAUCUUAAAGCUGGAUUUUGGCAAUUGGGUAUUAACCCCUCUGAUAGGCCCAAAACCGCUUUCUGCAUUCCCACGGCCCAAUACCAAUGGACAGUCCUUUUAUUCGGCCUUAAGACGGCCCCAUCAGUUUUUCAAAAAGCCAUGAUAAGGAUAUUCGAGCCCAUACUUCACAGUGCUCUUAUUUACAUAGACGAUAUCCUUCUCUUCUCCAAAGAUGUUACGGCCCAUAGAACACUUCUCUCUACAUUUCAACAAUUGGUGGAUUCCUAUGGAAUUAUGCUAUCAGAAAAGAAGAGCUCAUUGGCCUAAACUGAUAUCGACUUCCUUGGAAUGAAGUUUAAAGAUGGAAAAUACAAACCGGGACCUCACCUUGCAGAAGAAUUACUGAAGUUCCCUGAUAAGGACUUGACAGUAAAACAAAUACAGCAGUUUCUUGGUAUUAUCAAUUAUAUCAGGAAGUUUAUUCCCCAUGUGGCCAUCCACACCUGCCAGCUAUCAAAGAUGCUUAAAAGGAAUGCUCCACCUUGGAAAGAAGAACAGACAUGUGCAGUCAAGGCGCUAAAAGAAGUGGCUCUGAAUCUGCCACCUCUGAAGAUCCCCAGCAUUGGACAUCGGAUCCUUCAGACUGAUGCUAGUGACACCCACUGGGGUGCAGUCCUGAUCGAAGAAAUACAAGGAGAAAAGCAUAUCAAAGGGAAACACAACUUGGUUUCUGAUCUUUUAUCCAGGCCCAAAAACCUCCACCUGACCCAGAGGUAGACUUUCUAGCAUCGAUAUCUGAUCAGAAUCAGUAUAACCAUCCAAUUGCAAGUCACUACCUCCAUUUAUCAAGAAUAAAUCCUUAGUUCUUCUUAAGUACUUAAGGAUAUUCUUGACAGCUAUCUAGUGUUCCAAACCUAGAUUGGAUUGAAACUUGCUAGUCAAACUAACAACAUAUGCAAUAUCCGGCCUAGUACACAACAUUGCAUAGAUCAAACUUCCAAUAGCCGAAGCAUAUGGAAUCCUAGCCAUUUUAUCUCUUUCUUCAGGUGUCUUUGGAGACAUCUCUUUAGAAAGGUGGAUACCAUGUCUCACUGGUAACAAUCCUCUCUUGCAAUCAAGCAUGUUAAACCUUUUUAAUACCUUUUCCAAGUAUAGACUUUGGGAUAAACCAAUUAUUCUUUUCGCUCUAUCUCUAUAGAUGCGAAUCCCAAGAAUAUAGGUUGCUUCCCCUAAGUCUUUCAUAGAGAAUGUAUUUGACAAUCAUACCUUUACAGCUGUUAACAUACCUAUGUCAUUACCCAUUAACAAAAAGUCAUCCACAUAUAAGAUAAGGAAAGUGACAGCACUAUCACUAACCUUCUUAUAUACACAUGGUUCAUCCUCAUUUUUGAUAAAACCAAAUGACUUAAUGGUUUCAUCAAAAUGGAUGUUCCAACUCCUCGAAGCUUGUUUCAACCCAUAAAUUGAUCGUUUUAGCUUGUAUACCUUGGAACCAUCUUGGGAUUCAAAGCCCCUAGGUUGUUCCAUGAAAAUGUUUUCUUCAAUGUAUCCAUUGAGAAAAGCUAUUUUGACAUCCAUCUGCCAAAUCUCAUAAUAAUAGUGCGCUGCUAAUGGUCAAUUGUGAUCAUUUGUGGUGUGUAUGAAUUGUUGGAAACAAGUUUAAAUUCGGAUUGGUGAGGGUCAAUCUACAGGCAGCUUGACCUAGGUCCCUUUCAGGGACUAAAAUUGAAAAAUUUACUAACCCAAUUGGUGUGAGGCCAAUUGAGAAUGAAACUAGACACAAAAUGGCACAUUUUUCAUUGAGGAAUCAUGCCUAGAAAAUGACCAUAACUUAGUGAACAAUUAGGCCAAAUCCGGAAUUGAGCACACUGACCUGUACAAAAAUGACCAAAAGAACAGUAGUUACGUAAAUGACCAUAACUUAGCCUAGGAAGGUCCAAAUGACCUGAAAUUUUACUGGGAGAAAGCUGAGACAUAGCCAUACAACUUUUAUGAAGAAAAUAAACCCAAAAUUUGACCAUAAGCUAUCCAAAAACUCACUUGUAGUCAACCCACAAAAACUGCCAUUAUCCAGAAUUUGCCCAGAAUUAUGGAUAAAACUAAAUCUGGCCAGCUACGUUCAAAUGGCUAUAACUUAGGCUACAAAACUCCAAAUAGAGUGAUUAAAAAAGAGAAUUAAAGAUAAGACAAUAAGGAACAACUUUGAUGGACACUUAGCCAAAUUUCUACUGUAGACAGACCAAUGGAAUAAUAAAAAUAAGUAACCCAAAACUGAAAUUUUGAUAUUUAAUAGGCUUUUAAUUGAAUUUGGUAAUCAAUGCCAACAAAAAUAUGACUCAAAAUGUGGUGUGUGGGUGUAAUUAGAAUUAUCAUAUCUAAUUAGUAUGAAAAAGUCAAUAUCUUGACCAAAUGGUCAAAUGAAUUGUAGCCACAAUUAUACUAAGUACAAAGAAUUCAAUUUUAUGGGAUAAAUUAAGUGUAUAAAAUUUAAUUAUUAAAUUUAUUAAUUGGAAAUAAAUUGAACAGAUAUUGAAACACUUUAGUUAUAUGUUUUAGUGGGAAAGGAGCCCUCCAAGGAAGGAGGAAGAAUUGAAUCAAGACAAGCCUAGAUAAGAGGUACUGAACAUAAAAACCCAGUGGACAUUAGACUAGAGAAUUUAGAGUCUAGAUCUGCGGAAGUAUCAGAAGUGUACAAGGUUGUCACCUCCUCAGCAAUGCAUGUAGAUAGGGUCCAUAUAGAUCAUAUUAUGUAUUUUGUAUAUUAUAAUUAGUUAUUAUUUGUAAUGUAAACUAUGAAUUGUAUAUUGAAAUAUAGAUUAUGGAACUAUAAAUAAU